rnacentral:rRNA from 1 species
CCCCAGACUCCUACGGGAGGCAGCAGUGGGGAAUAUUGCACAAUGGGGGAAACCCUGAUGCAGCGACGCCGCGUGAGUGAAGAAGUAUUUCGGUAUGUAAAGCUCUAUCAGCAGGGAAGAUAAUGACGGUACCUGACUAAGAAGCCCCGGCUAACUACGUGCCGGCAGCCGCGGUAAUACGUAGGGGGCAAGCGUUAUCCGGAUUUACUGGGUGUAAAGGGUGCGUAGGUGGCAUGGCAAGUCAGAGGUGAAAGCCCGGGGCUCAACCCCGCGGACUGCUUUUGAAACUGUCAGGCUGGAGUACAGGAGAGGUAAGCGGAAUUCCUAGUGUAGCGGUGAAAUGCGUAGAUAUUAGGAGGAACACCAGUGGCGAAGGCGGCUUACUGGACUGUAACUGACACUGAGGCACGAAAGCGUGGGGAGCAAACAGGAUUAGAUACCCGUGUA